UGGCCACUGAAGGGAGAGCAUUGCUUGGGGCUAGGCUGCUUCCUGAGGAGGAGUGCUGCGCAGCCAGAGAGCCCCUUCACCAGCUGGGUCUCAAGUGCCUCUUCAAAUACAAGUCCAAAUGACAGGAGUCCAGGAGUUUGGAAGUUAUUAGAGAGCACAGGCUGUGAUGCUUGAUGCAGAGCACAAACAGAGCUUGUGGCUGCCGCUGGGUGAAUGUUCCUGCUUAUUGCCAAGCCCUGCAGCCAGUCCUGGGGUGCCUUCCUGUGACUCCCACCCUGCACAGGUUCGGAGUGGUGGAGCAUAUGUGCGUGGGGACGUUUGCCUGUGUGACGUGAUGCAAAGGUUGCUGGAUUUUGGGGUCAGUCCUCAAGAUAAGUUGCUUUAUUUUGUGGCUGGUGGAGCUUUGCUGUUUUACUCCCAGGUUGAACACGGCCCCCUGGUUUUGUGUGCCCACCCUCAGUACUGCUGUUAGCAGGGUUGGUGACCAGUCAACUUUGCUCCCUGGAGAUGCUGGUGGGAGGAGGACCUUCCCAUCUGCUGCCUCAGUAGAUCUGUUCUUGUUCCCUUCUUGUGCUCCUCCAGCAACCGAUGGCACAGGUGCCAGCUUCUAUUUAGAAUUCCCUACUGGGAUGGUUGGUAAAUGUUACCUGCUACAGCUGCACUUGGCCCACCUUGCUUGUAACUGAGUACUGGGAGGGUGAGAUCAGCCACUGAGGCAGAUGCAGUUCUUGGGCAGCUCAUUGCAGCUGAUAAUUUUAAGACCUUUAUUGCAGACAAUCGAUAUGCAGAAUUGUAGUCCUCGUGUAGAUGUUUUAUUUCGGUUUUUGCUUCCUCUGGCAGUCUCAUCUGAAUUACUAUACAGCUGAAUAGCUGCUGACUGCAGCCACAUAGGCGUUGGUUGCGAUGUAACGCUUGGCCUCUGGGCAGACCUGCAGCAAUUUUUAAACACGAGAAUGGAGAUGGGAUGCUGACGCACAGUCACAACUCUCACUUACAGGGAAUCUCUGCUUUCAGCAGAAUUAAAAGGGCAGAUGGGGUAUGAGCAUCUUCCAAAUCCAGUCUCGCUGAAAAGGGAAUUAGCAAGAUCAUUAAACUGCCUCAUUAUUACCAUGGUAAUUACAAGAUUAACACACUUCACUUCAGGAUCUCUAAUUUGUUUUGUAAUAUAAGCAAGAUGGGGAGAUGAUUUGGCUAUAUUUGAAGUCUUGGGACAGAUAGUGUCUGAGGAAUAGGUAGGGGGUUAGCUGCACAGAAUGAUGCAUAUCAAGUAGAUAUCAAACAGCUACAUAUGCUAAUAUGUGAUGUAUAUGUGAGCUGCAAAGAUCAUUUAUUCCGGAGAGCGGGAAGUAGAUGCUAGGUUUGAUCAGAUUAUCAAAGGUACCUGAGGAUCUGUCAAGCACAGCUCUUCCAUGUUCUUCUGAAACCUGAACAUGAAAAGACAAGGCAGAAAUGGGUCUGACGUUACUAAUGAUGACAAGAUCUGCAGAUCCUUCCCUGGCACUCCUUGCUGAUUUUUCCCUUAAGGAGCCCUGGUGGGCGUCCUCUGCUGCUGAAGGUGCGGGCCAGGUGCUGCCUGGUCCUUUUGCUUGUGGGUCCUUAGCAGCAGGGCACCAUUACAAACUUGAAUUGGUCACAAGAGGAUGUAACACCAGUGUGUUGGUUUUGGGGCAGAGAGAGACUGCAGCUGGUGAGCACAAGUGGUGUGGGAAACAUUGAGGAAAACUGCUGCACAGCGGAUGAAAAUUACAAUGUCCUCUCCUCCAGGAAACUGCUUAUUUCUACACAGCUGCUGGAUUUUCUACCUCCAGAGUUAUAAACCAGCAUCUUGACUUGAAUCCCUAUUUUUCUUCUCUUGCUGUUAUUUAUUGCUGUGACUUACUGUUUGGUAUCCAUUUAUGCACAGUUUCAUACAAGAGCUCUGUUAUUUUAGUUUGGUUAGAAGAGAGUUUUUAGGUGCUUGUUUAAAGCUUGCUCUGACUGUGUUGAGAUCUGCCCAGUGGCAGAUAAAUCAGGCCCACGCCGCACAAGGCUGGGACAGAAACACUGUUCCUUCAGCUUGGGCUGGUGAUGCCAGCAAGAGCCCCAGCAGCAGCAGGCUCCAAGCAGCACCCUUGCUCCAGCCCAGGGGCUGUGGCCUUUCCAUAUCUAACAUUUGAGCAGCAGAUGGAGCAAAGGACCAGAAAAAUGCUUGCUGGAUCACUGUGCUCCAAGGAGGGAAGGAGCCUGCUGCAGCAGUGGUUUUGCCGUUUAGCAUCAUAGCCUGGAAAGGACCGUGUGUCUUAGCUGUGGUCAUCUUGGUGUGCUUCCCCUCACCAUGCGAAGAGCCCACUGAGCUCGCCUCUCUUCAUCCAGCAGUCACAACAGAAGAAAAUGAGCCCAAAUGGGCACCAGGUGCUCAUCUCCUGCACUGCCAACAGCAUCUGGAUGGGACAGUACAAGCGGGAGGGCUGUCUGAAGGGUGAUAGGCAGUCAUUGCUUCCGCUCUGAUUGUAACAAAACAAAUUGUUGCUGGGAGCAACGCUGGCUUCUGCUUCCCAAGUUCCAGCAUGUGGAGCUGAGUGAUUAUGAAGAGCUAACAAUUCCUGUUAAGAAGCGAUCAUAUCUCAGAAAGGCUGGGAAAUGUAAACUUUCAGGAUUUAGAAAACGUAGU